GAUGAAGAACGUAGCGAAAUGCGAUAAGUAAUGUGAAUUGCAGAAUUCAGUGAAUCAUCGAAUCUUUGAACGCACAUUGCGCCCCUUGGUAUUCCGAGGGGCAUGCCUGUUCGAGCGUCAUUAUAACCCCUCAAGCUCAGCUUGCUGUUGGGGCCUGCUGCACUGGCAGCCCUUAAAAUCAGUGGCGGCGCCAUCUGGCUCUAAGCGUAGUAAUUCUUCUCGCUAUGGAGUCCUGGUGGCUGCUUGCCAUCAACCCCCAAUUUUUCUAUGGUUGACCUCGGAUCAGGUAGGGAUACCCGCUGAACUUAAGCAUAUCAAUAAGCGGAGGA
rnacentral:misc_RNA from 1 species